GAUUGGCCAAGAGGUUGCUACAGCUCAGUUAUUUGAGCCUCAGUUUGAGCAUGUGAUUGACACAAUCACAUUGACUGUUGCUGAAGCUAUGUCUCUAGAACCACCAUCGCCAGUCCUUGUGACUGUUGCUGUUUUGGUGAAGUUUAAACUCAAGUGGUUAAAUUACCAUCGCAAUAUCAUCGAUGGCAUGCGACAAACUCUUUUGUGGCUCAAGUGGAUAGUUCCUUUGGUAUCUUACAUGCUUUGAGUCUGGGCUUUACUGAGGUAGUUGUUCAAGACACAAGAGUUUCUGGUCAUGAACAAAUAUCAUCUGUACACGUUGUUAUUCCACGGUCACUCUUCCUUUAUCUAAUCCCUAUUAUGGAUGAUUCUACUCAUCUUCAUGGGAUAACACAUAUUCCACCCUCAAAUGUUUGGUAUGUUUUUCCUGGACAAAAAUGCAUGGUCCUUGCGAAAGCAUUUGCAGAGGGAUUUGAUGCUAGGGAGAUAUCUAUUACAGAGGAAAAUGACCUUAAAAUGAGAGCAGUACGGUGGGAUUCUGGAACUUAUCGUGGGUGUCGGACAAUUCUAUAGGUUCCUAUGAAGUCCUAAAUUCUAGAUUGCUAAGUCCUAUUUCCCAGGGGAAAGGAGAUUCUGUUGCUUCCUUAACAUACCAAACAGGGGCAUCUGGACCAGCAAAGGUUCUCAAUCUUCUGCAAGAAGUUAAUGUUUGUAGUAAGGUGAAGGCAUUCUGGGAUGGAGGAUUGGAGAAAUCCCUCAUCUUCCCUGGGUUCCUGGAGUUUAUCAGGAAGUUGAACUGAAAGCGAUUGGAGGUUGUUAUUGUGAUAUCUUCAUAUU